UUUGAUCCUGGCUCAGAACGAACGCUGGCGGCGUGCCUAAGACAUGCAAGUCGUGCGAGAAGGGGACUUCGGUCCUGAGUAAAGCGGCGCACGGGUGAGUAACGCGUGGGUAACCUACCUCGAAGUCUGGAAUAACCCGGGGAAACCUGAGCUAAUACCGGAUAAGCCUACGAGGCCCUCGGGUCAUGUGGGAAAAGAUGGCCUCUGCUUGCAAGCUAUCGCUACGAGAUGAGCCCGCGUCCCAUUAGCUAGUUGGCGAGGUAACGGCUCACCAAGGCGACGAUGGGUAGCUGGUCUGAGAGGACGAUCAGCCACACUGGAACUGAGACACGGUCCAGACUCCUACGGGAGGCAGCAGUCGGGAAUAUUGGGCAAUGGGCGCAAGCCUGACCCAGCGACGCCGCGUGAGGGAUGAAGGCCUUCGGGUCGUAAACCUCUGUCGGGAGGGAAGAAUGGCGGUGAGGCGAAUAGUCUCGCUGUCUGACGGUACCUCCAAAGGAAGCGCCGGCUAACUCCGUGCCAGCAGCCGCGGUAAUACGGAGGGCGCAAGCGUUGUUCGGAAUCACUGGGCGUAAAGCGCGUGUAGGCGGCCGGGCAAGUCGGAUGUGAAAUCCCGAGGCUCAACCUCGGAACUGCAUUCGAAACUGCUCGGCUCGAGUCCCGGAGAGGAUGGCGGAAUUCCCGGUGUAGGGG
rnacentral:rRNA from 1 species